UGAGUAGCAUAUUAUAUAAGUACUUUAUAGGUUAGAAAAUGGUAUGUUUAUUUUGGUAAGAUUUGGUAGGUAAAAUAUCUUCGACACGGAUGUCAUAGUGGGUCAGUCAAGGACUGAGACCUGUAGUGAUAUUUUCAACAUUACAUAUACGCUUUUAGCUAUAUUGAGUGGACAAAACUUACCGGAGCGGUAGGUCAGUCUGUGCGUUCACUCCGUUGCAUUUUGCGCAUCCAUGUCGUGUUCCUGCGUUGUGCUAGGACACAGGCACUUUGUUUUCGUUGUGGUAUAUACAUUUCACAAUUGAAAUACAUUUUAAAACAUAGAAAUACCACGUAUUAACAGUAUGAUUUCGAUAAAACCGAGCAGUUGUUUAUUUCAGCGGUAGACACUGACGGCUGUCAAUGUCAUUUGGUUUUUUUGUCCAUGGUUCCGUAACAGACGGUCGGUCACCCUUGUUGUACGACAAUAAACAUAUACUUGUGGUUCUUUUAUCUUUUUAUAAUUUCCAAUUAUUAAUAAAGUCCGUAUUAUUUGCUUCCCAAAAUGAGUAACUCUUUUUAUUGUUGAUGUUUCGAAUUAUUCCGAGAGUCAAACCGGUCAGUCGCGGUAUCCAUUGAAUGGGAAGUUUUUCAUUCAUCAGUUUGUCUGUGGUUUCUCGGAUUGGAAUUUUGAUAAAUCAUUGUUCGAUCGAUCUUCGAGAUGUAAAGGAUCUUAGAAAAUCUUUGGGCAAUCAAUCUUAGGGCUCGUUCCAAAAUGUGCAUAAUUUAGCGUCUUAGAGCCUACCUAAAAUGGCGGCUGCUAAUCUUUUCCCUUCAAUUUAACAUAACUUGGUGAGUUUCCACACUUUUUAAAUAUAUAAAGAAGGAAAGGCGGAGGUAGUGUGUCCUUUCGCAAAUGGGUUAAUAUAGUGUUUUAUGUGGAUUUUCCAGCAAAACCUAAUGUAACGUCAACCACCUCUUCGUCUUGCCACGCGGUCUGCAGGCGCCGUCGUUGGUAUAGGAAAUAAUGGACCCGGCAUAAACCCCGGUAAGUCAUUUAAUCGCUUCAUUGCCGUAAUUUAAAUCGCGCUGUGCCUCAGUUUAAAAUAUAAUUUUUCUAUAAAACUAAACGUGUUAAAACAUAAUUUUUUUUAAACUAGAACAUUCUCUUUGUUCUUAGGGUUUUUUCUGGACCCUGGUUUUUUCUGGACCCUGGUUUUUCCUGGACCCUGGCUACUCUAAGGCUGUGCCAUCCGGUGGCAGCGUUCUUCUUGGCAGUGUCCGUGAAGUUAAGACUUUUAUGAUAUACCUUUAGUUAAAUAUGGACCCUUUAUGCUGAACAGGUAACCUGUAAUCCCUGUGAGCAAUUGCUUACUGCUAAACAUCCCCGGAGGUUGGGGCAUAACUUUUACUGUAGACAGUGUUAUGUUAGGAAGACAAAUUUUGAUAUUGUUGUCCGUAGACACAUGGAUGCCUAUGAUGUAUUUAGUGUAAAUUUCAAGAAAUAGCGGUGUCACUAAGAAGUAUUUAGUAUUACUUAUUUACUAAUAAAUAACUCGUGUUGACCAUAGCGGGUCAUAUAUAUUUAAGGAAUAAAAGGUGUGUAUUAAAUAAA